rnacentral:rRNA from 1 species
UUCCCUUCGGGGACCUAGUGACAGGUGCUGCAUGGCUGUCGUCAGCUCGUGUCGUGAGAUGUUGGUUAAGUCCCGCAACGAGCGCAACCCUCGUCCUUAGUUGCCAUCAUUAAGUUGGGCACUUUAAGGAAACUGCCGGUGAUAAGCCGGAGGAAGGUGGGGAUGACGUCAAGUCCUCAUGGCCCUUACAGGCUGGGCUACACACGUGCUACAAUGGCAUCUACAGUGGGCAGCUAUCCCGCAAGGGUGCGCUAAUCUCCAAAAGAUGUCUCAGUUCGGAUUGUCCUCUGCAACUCGAGGGCAUGAAGGCGGAAUCGCUAGUAAUCGCGGAUCAGCAUGCCGCGGUGAAUACGUUCCCAGGCCUU